rnacentral:rRNA from 1 species
UACACUCCUGCGGGAGGCAGCAGUGGGGAAUUUUGGACAAUGGGCGCAAGCCUGAUCCAGCCAUGCCGCGUGCGGGAAGAAGGCCUUCGGGUUGUAAACCGCUUUUGUCAGGGAAGAAAAGGUUCUGGCUAAUACCUGGGACUCAUGACGGUACCUGAAGAAUAAGCACCGGCUAACUACGUGCCAGCAGCCGCGGUAAUACGUAGGGUGCAAGCGUUAAUCGGAAUUACUGGGCGUAAAGCGUGCGCAGGCGGUUAUGCAAGACAGAGGUGAAAUCCCCGGGCUCAACCUGGGAACUGCCUUUGUGACUGCAUGGCUAGAGUACGGUAGAGGGGGAUGGAAUUCCGCGUGUAGCAGUGAAAUGCGUAGAUAUGGGAGGAACACCGAUGGCGAAGGCAAUCCCCUGGACCUGUACUGACGCUCAUGCACGAAAGCGUGGGGAGCAAACAGGAUUAGAUACCCCUGUAGUCCCAUG